rnacentral:lncRNA from 1 species
UUAUUGUAGGCUGCUCGCACCUCAAGUUCCUGUCACUCUGCUCCCCUUCACUUGUCGAGGCUACCAUUGGGAAGGUCCCAUCUAUAAACUCGUCCAGAUACCGAUUUCUCACCAAAUCCUCAACCUGGGUCUUGAGAUCCCUGCAAUCUGCUGUGGUGUGGCCAUGAGUGCCAUGGAACUUACAAUAGUGCCCCCUAUCCCUCCUGCUGGGCAGCUUUGUUAUUGGGGCAGGGAGGUACAGCAACCCUCGAUCCUUUAUGGC